rnacentral:snRNA from 1 species
GGAGACAAGCAAGCCCUAAA